AUGAAAGCCGAGGUAAUAUUUAUAAAUUCCUUCCCUAAGGAUGGAUGGAAUGUUCUGAGCUGCAGCAGAAAGCACCUUUUUGGGGAUGAAGGGAGGUGGUGUAAGUGCAGUUAUUCAGUGAUCCAAAGGAAAAGGGAACAAGGGUGUGGAGGGGCUGCUCCACGUCUUUUCUGGAAGCACGGGCUGGUCCACACGCCUGGGCUCCUCGCUCACGUCUCCGGGGCCUCCCUCCCAUCCAGGAAGGCUUGGGGCCUCCUUUCUGAUGCUCUGGACCCCUCACCACCCCACCCUACUCAACGAGGCCAGGGACCCACGCCUGACAAAUAUGGCAAAACCCAGCGAGGCACAAUCCCCCUCGACCUUGAUGCCGGAUUCGCACCUGCUGGCAGAAGGGAGGCCCAUGCAUCACCAACCCAUGUGUGCUGGUUCCCUGAGGCUCAAGGUUAUGAGAGGUGGAUUCUUUACCCCUGAACCACCUGGGAAGCCCAAAGUUUAUGGUGGUGAUGAAAACCUUUGCGUUUAACACAGGAAAACGUGUGUCGUGCAAGUUCAAGCAUCUAUGGGUGGACACUUGUGCCCGCUGGUGAGCAAGUGAGGUGUGGUUGAAGCAGGAGGCUUGGGGCGUGAGCCUGGUACCUGG
rnacentral:lncRNA from 1 species